rnacentral:rRNA from 1 species
CCCUUAGAUGUUCUGGGCCGCACGCGCGCUACACUGAUGCAUUCAACGAGUCUAAAACCUGCUCUGAUAGGGGUGGGUAAUCUUUUGAAUGUGCAUCGUGAUUGGGAUAGAUGAUUGCAAUUUUUCAUCUUCAACGAGGAAUGCCUAGUAAGCACAAGUCAUCAGCUUGUGUUGAUUACGUCCCUGCCCUUUGUACACACCGCCCGUCGCUCCUACCGAUUGAAUGUUCCGGUGAGCUCUUCGGACUGCGCGGUCUGCAGUUUCUGCGUUCCGUGCGGAAAGUUGCGCAAACCUUAACAUUUAGAGGAAGGAGAAGUCGUAACA